rnacentral:rRNA from 1 species
UACGAAGGGGGGCUAGCGUUGCUCGGAAUUACUGGGCGUAAAGCGCACGUAGGCGGAUCUUUAAGUCAGGGGUGAAAUCCUGGAGCUCAACUCCAGAACUGCCUUUGAUACUGAGGACCUUGAGUUCGGGAGAGGUGAGUGGAACUGCGAGUGUAGAGGUGAAAUUCGUAGAUAUUCGCAAGAACACCAGUGGCGAAGGCGGCUCACUGGCCCGAUACUGACGCUGAGGCACGAAAGCGUGGGGAGCCAAACAGG